GAGUUUGAUCAUGGCUCAGAUUGAACGCUGGCGGCAUGCCUUACACAUGCAAGUCGAACGGCAGCACGGGAGCUUGCUCCUGGUGGCGAGUGGCGAACGGGUGAGUAAUGCAUCGGAACGUAUCCUGGAGUGGGGGAUAACGUAGCGAAAGUUACGCUAAUACCGCAUAUUCUGUGAGCAGGAAAGCGGGGGACCUUCGGGCCUCGCGCUCUUGGAGCGGCCGAUGUCGGAUUAGCUAGUUGGUGAGGUAAAGGCUCACCAAGGCGACGAUCCGUAGCAGGUCUGAGAGGAUGAUCUGCCACACUGGAACUGAGACACGGUCCAGACUCCACGGGAGGCAGCAGUGGGGAAUUUUGGACAAUGGGGGCAACCCUGAUCCAGCCAUGCCGCGUGAGUGAAGAAGGCCUCGGUGUAA
rnacentral:rRNA from 1 species